rnacentral:rRNA from 1 species
AUGUUACAGUUUGCUGCUGCUUCCGGUCUUGGUCAGGCUGCCCAUGGCCCGGGCCUUCUCCCGGAGGACAAACUUCUGCGUCUUCCCCGUCGAGGUCUUGGGCAGAUCCUCCUCGAACACCACCGUCUUGGGCGCCAUGUAGUGCGGCAGCCUCUGCCGGCAGAAGCCCAUGAUCUCUGCCUCCGUGGCGCCGGCGCCGUCCUUCAGCUUCACGAAUGCGCAUGGCGUCUCCCCCCAGUGGUUGUCGGGCCUCGCCACGACCGCCGCCUCCAGCACCGCCGGGUGGCUGAAGAUCACCGACUCCACCUCGAUGGAGCUGAUGUUCUCGCCGCCCGAUAUGAUGAUGUCCUUGGCCCGGUCCUUGAGCUGGAUGUACCCGUCGGGGUGCCGCACGGCGAGGUCGCCGGUGUGCAGCCACCCGCCGGCCAUGGACUCCUUGGUCGCGCUGAUGUCUUUGUAGUACCCGCUCAUGACGGUGUUGCCGCGGAACAUCACCUCGCCCACCGCCUCGCCGUCGCGCGGCACGCUCUCCAUGGUCGCCGGGUCCUUGACGUCGACCUCCUCCAUCGCGACGUGCUGGAACCCCUGCCGCGCCUUGAGCCGCGCGCGCUCCUCGGCCGGCAGCGCGUCCCACUCCGGCAUCCACGCGCACACGGUGGCGGGGCCGUACGUCUCCGUGAGGCCGUAGAUGUGGUACACAGCGAAGCCGAGCUCCUCCAUCCCGGCGAGCACGCGGGGCGGCGGCGGCGCGCCGCCCGUCAUGACGCGCACCGUGCCCGGCAGCGGCUUCCGGUCCGCGGUGGGAGCGUUGAGGAUCAUGUUGAGCACCGUGGGCGCGCCGCCCAUGUGCGUCACCCCGUGGCGCGCGAUGCUGUCGAAGAUGACGGCGGCGGUGAAGUGGCGGAGGCAGACGUUGGUGCCGCCCUGCAUGGCCACGCCCCACGGCAGGUGCCAGCCGUUGCAGUGGAACAUGGGCACCGUCCACAGGUAGGUCGGCAUCGGGGUGAUGUCGUAGGCGAGGACGGUGCCGAUGGUGUUGAGGUAGGCGCCCCGGUGGUUGUACACCACGCCCUUGGGCCGCGACGUCGUGCCGGACGUGUAGUUGAGCGUGAUCGGGUCCAGCUCGUUCGCCGGCCACCGGAUGUCAAACUCAGAUGGAGCGCUCUUGAUGAGACCCUCGUAGUCCGCCGCGCAGCCGGAAGCUUCGCCGGGGCCGGCGUCGUCCGAGAUGGUUACGAGGACCGGAAUGCUGGCGGCGUUGGACUCGGAGUCGGCGAGGCGCUUGAGGGCGGCUCUGCCGACGUCGAGGAGGCUGGACUCGACGAGGAACACCUUGGCACCGGAGUGCUUGAGCAGGGCGGACACCAUGGGCGCGUCGUGGCGCGUGUUGAACGUGCAGAGGACGGCACCGGCCAUGGGCACGGCGAAGUGCAGCUCGUACAUCGCCGGCACGUUGGGGCUGAGGACAGCCACCUGCACACUCCGAAUAGUGAAAAAACAGAGAAGUUCCUACUAUCACUCCGACUAUUUUUCACCCUGAGAUAG